rnacentral:rRNA from 1 species
AUUGAACGCUGGCGGCAGGCCUAACACAUGCCAGUCGAGCGGAUGAAGGGAGCUUGCUCCUGGAUUCAGCGGCGGACGGGUGAGUAAUGCCUAGGAAUCUGCCUGGCAGUGGGGGAUAACGUCCGGAAACGGGCGCUAAUACCGCAUACGUCCUGAGGGAGAAAGUGGGGGAUCUUCGGACCUCACGCUAUCAGAUGAGCCUAGGUCGGAUUAGCUAGUUGGUGGGGUAAAGGCCUACCAAGGCGACGAUCCGUAACUGGUCUGAGAGGAUGAUCAGUCACACUGGAACUGAGACACGGUCCAGACUCCUACGGGAGGCAGCAGUGGGGAAUAUUGGACAAUGGGCGAAAGCCUGAUCCAGCCAUGCCGCGUGUGUGAAGAAGGUCUUCGGAUUGUAAAGCACUUUAAGUUGGGAGGAAGGGCAGUAAGUUAAUACCUUGCUGUCUUGACGUUACCAACAGAAUAAGCACCGGCUAACUUCGUG